rnacentral:rRNA from 1 species
AUACGGAGGACGCGAGCGUUAUCCGGAUUCAUUGGGUUUAAAGGGUGCGCAGGCGGCCGUGCAAGUCAGCGGUGAAAGCCCGGGGCUCAACCCCGGAAGUGCCGUUGAUACUGCAUGGCUGGAAUGCGGUCGAGGCGGGCGGAACGUGGGGUGUAGCGGUGAAAUGCGUAGAUAAGGCACAGAACGCCGAUAGCGGAGGCAGCUCGCCAGGCCUGCAUGGACGCUCGGGCACGAAAGCGUGGGGAUCGAACAGGAUUAGAUACCCUGGUAGUCCACGCCGUAAACGAUGGGCGCUCGUCGUCGGCGGCAGACAGUCGGCGGCCAAGCGAAAGCGAUAAGCGCCCCACCUGGGGAGUACGGUCGCAAGGCUGAAACUCAAAUGAAUUGGCGGGG